UUAAGUUAUUAAGGGCGCACGGUGGAUGCCUUGGCACUAGAAGCCGAUGAAGGACGUUACUAACGACGAUAUGCUUUGGGGAGCUGUAAGUAAGCUUUGAUCCAGAGAUUUCCGAAUGGGGAAACCCAGCAUGAGUUAUGUCAUGUUAUCGAUAUGUGAAUACAUAGCAUAUCAGAAGGCACACCCGGAGAACUGAAACAUCUUAGUACCCGGAGGAAGAGAAAGAAAAUUCGAUUCCCUUAGUAGCGGCGAGCGAAACGGGAAGAGCCCAAACCAACAAGCUUGCUUGUUGGGGUUGUAGGACACUCUAUACGGAGUUACAAAGGACGACAUUAGACGAAUCAUCUGGAAAGAUGAAUCAAAGAAGGUAAUAAUCCUGUAGUCGAAAAUGUUGUCUCUCUUGAGUGGAUCCUGAGUACGACGGAGCACGUGAAAUUCCGUCGGAAUCUGGGAGGACCAUCUCCUAAGGCUAAAUACUCUCUAGUGACCGAUAGCGAACCAGUACCGUGAGGGAAAGGUGAAAAGCACCCCGGAAGGGGAGUGAAAUAGAACCUGAAACCGUGUGCUUACAAGUAGUCAGAGCCCGUUAAUGGGUGAUGGCGUGCCUUUUGUAGAAUGAACCGGCGAGUUACGAUUUGAUGCAAGGUUAAGCAGUAAAUGUGGAGCCGUAGCGAAAGCGAGUCUGAAUAGGGCGUUUAGUAUUUGGUCGUAGACCCGAAACCAGGUGAUCUACCCUUGGUCAGGUUGAAGUUCAGGUAACACUGAAUGGAGGACCGAACCGACUUACGUUGAAAAGUGAGCGGAUGAACUGAGGGUAGCGGAGAAAUUCCAAUCGAACCUGGAGAUAGCUGGUUCUCUCCGAAAUAGCUUUAGGGCUAGCCUCAAGUGAUGAUUAUUGGAGGUAGAGCACUGUUUGGACGAGGGGCCCCUCUCGGGUUACCGAAUUCAGACAAACUCCGAAUGCCAAUUAAUUUAACUUGGGAGUCAGAACAUGGGUGAUAAGGUCCGUGUUCGAAAGGGAAACAGCCCAGACCACCAGCUAAGGUCCCAAAAUAUAUGUUAAGUGGAAAAGGAUGUGGCGUUGCCCAGACAACUAGGAUGUUGGCUUAGAAGCAGCCAUCAUUUAAAGAGUGCGUAAUAGCUCACUAGUCGAGUGACACUGCGCCGAAAAUGUACCGGGGCUAAACAUAUUACCGAAGCUGUGGAUUGUCCUUUGGACAAUGGUAGGAGAGCGUUCUAAGGGCGUUGAAGCAUGAUCGUAAGGACAUGUGGAGCGCUUAGAAGUGAGAAUGCCGGUGUGAGUAGCGAAAGACGGGUGAGAAUCCCGUCCACCGAUUGACUAAGGUUUCCAGAGGAAGGCUCGUCCGCUCUGGGUUAGUCGGGUCCUAAGCUGAGGCCGACAGGCGUAGGCGAUGGAUAACAGGUUGAUAUUCCUGUACCACCUAUAAUCGUUUUAAUCGAUGGGGGGACGCAGUAGGAUAGGCGAAGCGUGCGAUUGGAUUGCACGUCUAAGCAGUAAGGCUGAGUAUUAGGCAAAUCCGGUACUCAUUAAGGCUGAGCUGUGAUGGGGAGAAGACAUUGUGUCUUCGAGUCGUUGAUUUCACACUGCCGAGAAAAGCCUCUAGAUAGAAAAUAGGUGCCCGUACCGCAAACCGACACAGGUAGUCAAGAUGAGAAUUCUAAGGUGAGCGAGCGAACUCUCGUUAAGGAACUCGGUAAAAUGACCCCGUAACUUCGGGAGAAGGGGUGCUCUUUAGGGUUAACGCCCAGAAGAGCCGCAGUGAAUAGGCCCAAGCGACUGUUUAUCAAAAACACAGGUCUCUGCUAAACCGUAAGGUGAUGUAUAGGGGCUGACGCCUGCCCGGUGCUGGAAGGUUAAGAGGAGUGGUUAGCUUCUGCGAAGCUACGAAUCGAAGCCCCAGUAAACGGCGGCCGUAACUAUAACGGUCCUAAGGUAGCGAAAUUCCUUGUCGGGUAAGUUCCGACCCGCACGAAAGGCGUAACGAUUUGGGCACUGUCUCAACGAGAGACUCGGUGAAAUCAUAGUACCUGUGAAGAUGCAGGUUACCCGCGACAGGACGGAAAGACCCCGUGGAGCUUUACUGUAGCCUGAUAUUGAAAUUCGGCACAGCUUGUACAGGAUAGGUAGGAGCCUUUGAAACGUGAGCGCUAGCUUACGUGGAGGCGCUGGUGGGAUACUACCCUAGCUGUGUUGGCUUUCUAACCCGCACCACUUAUCGUGGUGGGAGACAGUGUCAGGCGGGCAGUUUGACUGGGGCGGUCGCCUCCUAAAAGGUAACGGAGGCGCUCAAAGGUUCCCUCAGAAUGGUUGGAAAUCAUUCAUAGAGUGUAAAGGCAUAAGGGAGCUUGACUGCGAGACCUACAAGUCGAGCAGGGUCGAAAGACGGACUUAGUGAUCCGGUGGUUCCGCAUGGAAGGGCCAUCGCUCAACGGAUAAAAGCUACCCCGGGGAUAACAGGCUUAUCUCCCCCAAGAGUUCACAUCGACGGGGAGGUUUGGCACCUCGAUGUCGGCUCAUCGCAUCCUGGGGCUGUAGUCGGUCCCAAGGGUUGGGCUGUUCGCCCAUUAAAGCGGUACGCGAGCUGGGUUCAGAACGUCGUGAGACAGUUCGGUCCCUAUCCGUCGUGGGCGUAGGAAAUUUGAGAGGAGCUGUCCUUAGUACGAGAGGACCGGGAUGGACAUACCUCUGGUGUACCAGUUGUCGUGCCAACGGCAUAGCUGGGUAGCUAUGUGUGGACGGGAUAAGUGCUGAAAGCAUCUAAGCAUGAAGCCCCCCUCAAGAUGAGAUUUCCCAACUUCGGUUAUAAGAUCCCUCAAAGAUGAUGAGGUUAAUAGGUUCGAGGUGGAAGCAUGGUGACAUGUGGAGCUGACGAAUACUAAUCGAUCGAAGACUUAAUCAA
rnacentral:rRNA from 1 species